rnacentral:rRNA from 1 species
GACGAACGCUGGCGGCGUGCUUAACACAUGCAAGUCGAACGGAAAGGCCCUGCUUUUGUGGGGUGCUCGAGUGGCGAACGGGUGAGUAACACGUGAGUAACCUGCCCUUGACUUUGGGAUAACUUCAGGAAACUGGGGCUAAUACCGGAUAGGAGCUCCUGCUGCAUGGUGGGGGUUGGAAAGUUUCGGCGGUUGGGGAUGGACUCGCGGCUUAUCAGCUUGUUGGUGGGGUAGUGGCUUACCAAGGCUUUGACGGGUAGCCGGCCUGAGAGGGUGACCGGCCACAUUGGGACUGAGAUACGGCCCAGACUCCUACGGGAGGCAGUAGUGGGGAAUAUUGCACAAUGGGCGGAAGCCUGAUGCAGCAACGCCGCGUGCGGGAUGACGGCCUUCGGGUUGUAAACCGCUUUCGCCUGUGACGAAGCGUGAGUGACGGUGAUGGGUAAAGAAGCACCGGCUAACUACGUG